AUAUCCUGUCACAUAAGGGUAUUUUGAGGCACAUUUUUCUUUUAGUUUAAGAUCAUGACAUCUCCGUGUCUUUCUCUGUUGCUCACAAUGCCGCCUUCAGCACAGAUGCAACCUUCUCAUUUUCCAUGUACAAUCCCUAAGUGUAUACACCCAGUGGUUAUGAUGUGUGUGCACACAGUAGACUUCAAUCUUACUGUGGAAUCCGAAAUACUAUACACGACUGACUCAACUCCACUUUCCCACCGUGAUGUGUACACACUUAAUCCACACUCUUCUUUUAGGUUGGAAUGAAUAAGGACAGACUGGUAGCCUUUCUUUAACUUUUCUUUGUUUUACAUGAUUUUCUGCAUAAAUAGUUGACUAAUUCUUUUUUUUUAAAUGAGAAUACUUAUUAAAAGGAUGUUUUAGGAUUUUGAUGGCCUCUCUCUGCCUUUGAAACCAGGUUCUGGGGCCUGGAUAGCUGCCUCAGCUGCUCAAAGCAUGUAGUCAGGAUCACCAGGUGUUUCAGGUCAUUCUCACUCCUCAGUCAGCUCAAGGUCAUGUGGUGAUAGGCCAGACCUUGUCUCUAAAAACAGGCAAGCAUGAGUCAGUGUUAAUUCGGUGUGCAAAUUGGGCAGCAAAGAUUGCCAGGCAGUCCUAGCUCAUGUGUUUCCUGUACUUUCGCAAGUCCUCUAGUUUUUCUUUCAACCUCACUUACCAAAAAAAAAAAAAAAAAA
rnacentral:lncRNA from 1 species